rnacentral:rRNA from 1 species
AGUCGAGCGGAUGAAGAGAGCUUGCUCUCUGAUUCAGCGGCGGAGGGGUGAGUAAUGCCUAGGAAUCUGCCUGGUAGUGGGGGACAACGUCUCGAAAGGGACGCUGAUACCGCAUACGUCCUACGGGAGAAAGCAGGGGACCUUCGGGCCUUGCGCUAUCAGAUGAGCCUAGGUCGGAUUAGCUAGUUGGUGAGGUAAUGGCUCACCAAGGCGACGAUCCGUAACUGGUCUGAGAGGAUGAUCAGUCACACUGGAACUGAGACACGGUCCAGACUCCUACGGGAGGCAGCAGUGGGGAAUAUUGGACAAUGGGCGAGAAGCCUGAUCCAGCCAUGCCGCGUGUGUGAGGAAGGUCUUCGGAUUGUAAAGCACUUUAAGUUGGGAGGAAGGGCAUUAACCUAAUACGUUGAUGUUUUGACGUUACCGACAGAAUAAGCACCGGCUAACUCUGUGCCAGCAGCCGCGGUAAUACAGAGGGUGCAAGCGUUAAUCGGAAUUACUGGGCGUAAAGCGCGCGUAGGUGGUUUGUUAAGUUGAAUGUGAAAUCCCCGGGCUCAACCUGGGAACUGCAUCCAAAACUGGCAAGCUAGAGUAGGGCAGAGGGUGGUGGAAUUUCCUGUGUAGCGGUGAAAUGCGUAGAUAUAGGAA